rnacentral:rRNA from 1 species
ACAGCAGUAGCCACGGUAAUACAGAGGGUGCGAGCGUUAAUCGGAUUUACUGGGCGUAAAGCGUGCGUAGGCGGCUUUUUAAGUCGGAUGUGAAAUCCCUGAGCUUAACUUAGGAAUUGCAUUCGAUACUGGGAAGCUAGAGUAUGGGAGAGGAUGGUAGAAUUCCAGGUGUAGCGGUGAAAUGCGUAGAGAUCUGGAGGAAUACCGAUGGCGAAGGCAGCCAUCUGGCCUAAUACUGACGCUGAGGUACGAAAGCAUGGGGAGCAAACAGGAUUAGAUACCCCAGUAGUCCCUGUCUCUUAUAA